AUACGGAGGGUACGAACGUUAAUCGGAAUCACUGGGCGUAAAGCGUGUGUAGGCUGCGCGGAAAGUCAAAUGUGAAAGCCCGGGGCUCAACCUCGGAACUGCAUUCGAUACUCCCGUGCUAGAGUAAUGGAGAGGUAAGUGGAAUUCCUGGUGUAGCAGUGAAAUGCGUGGAUAUCAGGAGGAACAUCAAUGGCGAAGGCAACUUACUGGACAUUUACUGACGCUCAGACACGAAGGCUAGGGUAGCGAAAGGGAUUAGAUACCCUGGUAGUCCACGCCCUAAACGAUGCUUACUCGAUGUGUGAAUUAUUGCGCAUCCAAGGGAAACCGUUAAGUAAGCCACCUGGGGAGUACGUUCGCAAGAAUGAAACUCAAAGGAAUUGACGGGGUCCGCACAAGCGGUGGAGCAUGUGGUUUAAUUCGAUGAUACGCGAGGAACCUUACCUGGGCUCGAAUGGAUUUGGACAGUUUCUGAAAGGAAAUCUCUCUUCGGAGCUGAAUUCAAGG
rnacentral:rRNA from 1 species